rnacentral:SRP_RNA from 1 species
GCUAGGUGUAGUAGCAAGUGCCUGUAGUCUCAGCUACUUGGGAGGCUAAGGCAGGAGGAUCCCUUGAGUCCAGGAGUUCUGAGCUCUAGUAUGCUCAGUGAUUAAGUUUCUGUAUAAGUUUGCUAUCAAUAUGGUGACCUCCCAGGAGUAGGGAACCACCAGAUGGCCUAAGGAGGGAUAAACCAACCCAGGUUGGAAAUGAAGGAGGUCAAAACUAUGCUGAUCAGUACUGGGAUUACACCUGUAAACAGCCAAUGCACUCUAGCUUGGGCAACAUAACAAGACCCCAUCUCU